rnacentral:lncRNA from 1 species
GUUCACAAAAUGAAGGGAGCCGGCGGGAACAUUACGGUUUUACGUUGUGAUGGUGUUGUCGGUCGGUAAUGGCAUUGGUGGGCUAGGUGGGCGUGGUGAUGGCUGAUAGGUUGUGAAUACGCUGACGGUGGCGAUGGGAAGGACAGAAUAUGGCGACAUAGGGCUUGGGCGGCUGCGGAUGCUUAGUAUUAGUUAGUAUUAGUUAG